GCCUUUGAAGAAUAACAGCUAUCCGUUGGUCUUAGGAACCAAAAACUCUUGGUGCAAAUCCAAGCAAGGGCU
ensembl:Mt_tRNA tRNA-Leu